rnacentral:rRNA from 1 species
UGGCGGACGGGUGAGUAAUGUCUGGGAAACUGCCUGAUGGAGGGGGAUAACUACUGGAAACGGUAGCUAAUACCGCAUAACGUCGCAAGACCAAAGAGGGGGACCUUCGGGCCUCUUGCCAUCGGAUGUGCCCGGAUGGGAUUAGCUAGUAGGUGGGGUAACGGCUCACCUAGGCGACGAUCCCUAGCUGGUCUGAGAGGAUGACCAGCCACACUGGAACUGAGACACGGUCCAG